GGAAACAACUGCCUACUGUGUUCCUCUGGACAGAGCAUCAGCCUGAAGUAGAAGUGAAAAGGGCACAAGCAGCUCUGGAUGGAAGCAGAGAAGAUUAACAGCAGAAAACUUGCAAGAAGAAAUAACUUUAAGCUUUGGGUUGUUCAUUUUGUGGGUUUGCUUUUUUUUUUUUUUUUUUUUUAAAAAAAAAAAAACAAACUAAAUAUUUCAUAUUUAUAUUCUUAUUACUUUAAACUCAACUGAAAGAAUUAAGCUUCUGCCUUAAUGGUGUUACUAUAUCCUGCAAAUCUAACUCAUGAUCCUGAAGCACUGGGCAACAAGAGCCAUUUUGGGUGCUCACACUUCUACUGAAGCCUGUCAGCUGGAAGCUCAGAUCUUCUUUUGAGACACCGCAUCUACAAGAGGAGCCCCAACACCUCAUCUCUUCUGAAGGAAGUAUGGGCGUAGGCUGGGCUUCUUGGAUUGGGGAAUGGAGACUUCUGAGAUGGUGAAGGCUAGAAGAAUGUGACUUCUGGCACUAAAAGGUGUUUCACCUGCAGAUUUGUGUCUACAGAAGAGGUUCAGCACCCUGAAUGGGUGGGCUGGGAGCUUUGUCUAGAAAAACAUCUCAGCCUGCUGAGUAUAAUCCUUGCAGCAGCAGGAGAAAGAGCAUAAUGUUGGUAGUGGGUGACUCCCUGCAAUCAGGAAGAGCAGCCCCCAUCUGCCAUCCUGACUUGUGAUCUCAGGAGACUGCUGCUUGCUGGGUUUUGGAUCCAGAACAUUGUGGAGAAACUGCAGAGUAUUGUCUGGCCCUUGAGCUAUUACUUUCCGAUGCUCUUCCACUUGAGCACCUCUUAACUGGGACUUGAAACAAUCUGAUAUCUGCUGAAAGAGCAACAUAAAAGAUCACAAGCAAUCCAGGAGGUUUCUGGAGUGCAUUGGUGAUAAAUUCCUGGCACACAUGAUGAAGGGGCCAGCAAAGGGAGGGGCUCUGCUGGAGCUGAUUAAUUCUAAUCUAUGAGGAAGAAUUGGUUCUGGAGUUGAAAGAUAGGGAUCACUUUAACAAUAAUGGCCAUGCUAUGAUGGAGUUUAGGAUUCUGAAGAGUGAGGACAGGGAAAACAGCAAGAACCUAGCCCUGGAUUUGAGGAGAGGGUAUGUUCCUCUUCAGUGGGACCCCAAAAGGCUGAAGAAAUGGAUUGACAGGCACCUCAUGAAGUUCAACAGAGGCAAAUGUAAAGCCCUGCACCCGGGGAGGAAGAAUCUCACGGCCUAGUACAGAGUGGGAACUGAAUAUCUGGAAAACAGUUUUGCAGAAAACAACCUGGGUGUACUAGUGGACAAGCUGAACAAUAAACAACUUGAAGCAAAGAAGGCCAAGUCUCUUGGGCUGCACCUGGGUGAACAUAGCCAGCCAGUCAAGGCCGGCAACCCUUUUCUACUCAGCACUGGUGAGGCACAUCCAGUUCUGGUCUCCCUGGUACAAGACAGACAUGGAAAUACUGGAACAAAUCUGGAAAAAGGCAAUGGAACAUCUGUCAUAUGAGGGGAGGCUGAGAGAGCUGGGACUGUUAAGGCUGGAGAAGAAAAGGGUCAGGAGAGAUCUUAUUAAUGUGUUUAAAUACCUGAUAGGUGGAGUAAAGAAGUUGAAGUCACACUCUUCUCAGUAAUAUCCAGUAACAACAUAAGAGGCAAUAGGCACAAAUAUAAAGGAAGGAAAAUUCACCUAAACAUAAGAAAAAUCUUCUUUACUAUGACAGUAAUUGAAAACUGGAACAGGUUGCACAGAAAGGUUAUAUUGAAAAUAUACAAAACUGGACAUGGCUUGGUAAAAACUGUUCUAGGCGACCUUGCUUUAAGCAGGGGGAUUGGACUAGAUGACCUGCAGACAUCCUUUUGAACCUCAGCUGUUCUGUGAUUGAAAAUAGUCCAUUAUUUUAACAGAAAUGAAAUAUGUAGUUUGCUAAACCUCAUGCUGAUUUUGAACUGUCCUUUAGGAAGGACAAAUAUCUUUAACUACUAAGAAUUAUAGAAUGUUAACUAAAUUACUGCGAAAGUUGCUUUGUGUUUUUAGGGAUUUCUGGCCUCUUUUUUCAGUUGUUUGAUUUUGUUUGGUCCCUAAUAUAAAGUAUCAGACAAUCCAAACAAAUGCUGUAUUGGUUGAAUAUAGCUACUGAAGUACUAAUGCAAAUGUUCCUCUUGUGAAACACAGAUGUUUUAUAAAAGGGGGAGGCAAGAAAAGAAUUCACUAGAUAAGCAGUAUAAGAAAAACCUGUCUUGUUUUAAUAUGAAUACAUAUUUACUUUUCCAUUCAAUUAUUCAAUUCAAAGACUGAUAAAUUAUAAAGAAUCCUCAGACUGUUAUUUCCUCAUCGUAGUUUCUAUGCUGGAAGCCUAAUAUACAGAUUUGGGAGGGUAUACAAAUAAACUUACUUUUGAAACUGUU